rnacentral:lncRNA from 1 species
UGAAUUCUGCCAAAUAGAGAUUUUGUUCUCCGACCCUUGUUUACCAAAUUAUUUGUAACUCUCUGUUGGAUAGUUCAAUUCAUAUGAAGCUUAUUUUAUCAGAAACUAGAUUGAAAUAUCUUUCCAAUGAUAUAUUUUCUGAGUAAAAUUGGAGCACGAUUGAUAGUUUGAAUCAUUUAUUCAAUGUGCCUCUUGAAUUCUGCCAGAAAUUGAGCUUUGGUCGAUUUCG